UACGUAGGGGGCUAGCGUUGUCCGGAAUCAUUGGGCGUAAAGAGCGUGUAGGCGGCCCGGUAAGUCCGCUGUGAAAGUCGGGGGCUCAACCCUCGAAUGCCGGUGGAUACUGUCGGGCUAGAGUGCGGAAGAGGCGAGUGGAAUUCCUGGUGUAGCGGUGAAAUGCGCAGAUAUCAGGAGGAACACCGAUUGCGAGGGCAGCUCGCUGGGACGUCACUGACGCUGAGACGCGAAAGCGUGGGGAGCAAACAGG
rnacentral:rRNA from 1 species